AUUGAACGCUGGCGGCAUGCUUUACACAUGCAAGUCGAACGGUAACAGGCCGCAAGGUGCUGACGAGUGGCGAACGGGUGAGUAAUGCAUCGGAACGUGCCCAGUCGUGGGGGAUAACGCAGCGAAAGCUGCGCUAAUACCGCAUACGAUCUAUGGAUGAAAGCGGGGGACCGAAAGGCCUUGCGCGAUUGGAGCGGCCGAUGUCAGAUUAGGUAGUUGGUGGGGUAAAGGCUCACCAAGCCAACGAUCUGUAGCUGGUCUGAGAGGACGACCAGCCACACUGGGACUGAGACACGGCCCAGACUCCUACGGGAGGCAGCAGUGGGGAAUUUUGGACAAUGGGCGCAAGCCUGAUCCAGCAAUGCCGCGUGCAGGAAGAAGGCCUUCGGGUUGUAAACUGCUUUUGUACGGAACGAAACGGUCCGGGUUAAUACCUUGGGCUAAUGACGGUACCGUAAGAAUAAGCACCGGCUAACUACGUGCCAGCAGCCGCGGUAAUAC
rnacentral:rRNA from 1 species